AUACUGAUAUAACAACACAUAAAAAGAAAGAGAAGAAGAAGAAACAAAAGGCAUCAUCGUCGUUCCAACUUCCACCGCGCACCACCGUCUCUGUCUUCACCGGUAUUUGAAAAGGCAUGUAUUUUUUCAUUAUCUUCAUGUUUGCUGCUUUUCGAACUUUAUAUUAUUAGAUUGGAAGCUAAAAUUUGAAACUAGAGUUGGUUUAUUUGAAAGAUGGAAAUUUUUUUUUGUGUGGAUGUUGUUUUUGGUUGAGAUCAUUUUAUUGUGUUAGAAAAGCUUAAAAUUGGGUUUGUUUUCUACUUUGGAUGCUCAGCUUCGG
rnacentral:lncRNA from 1 species